AUUGAACGCUGGCGGCAUGCUUUACACAUGCAAGUCGAACGGUAACAGGUCUUCGGAUGCUGACGAGUGGCGAACGGGUGAGUAAUGCAUCGGAACGUGCCCAGUCGUGGGGGAUAACGCAGCGAAAGCUGUGCUAAUACCGCAUACGAUCUAUGGAUGAAAGCGGGGGAUCGCAAGACCUCGCGCGAUUGGAGCGGCCGAUGUCAGAUUAGCUAGUUGGUGGGGUAAAGGCCCACCAAGGCGACGAUCUGUAGCUGGUCUGAGAGGACGACCAGCCACACUGGGACUGAGACACGGCCCAGACUCCUACGGGAGGCAGCAGUGGGGAAUUUUGGACAAUGGGCGCAAGCCUGAUCCAGCAAUGCCGCGUGCAGGAAG
rnacentral:rRNA from 1 species